rnacentral:rRNA from 1 species
UCCAGCACACUACUGACGCUCAUGCACGAAAGCGUGGGUAUCGAACAGGAUUAGAUACCCUGGUAGUCCACGCGGUAAACGAUGAUAACUAGUUAUCCGGCUAAAUUGGUAGCUGGGUGACCGAGCGAAAGCGUUAAGUUAUCCACCUGGGGAGUACGCCGGCAACGGUGAAACUCAAAGGAAUUGACGGGGGCCCGCACAAGCGGAGGAACAUGUGGUUUAAUUCGAUGAUACGCGAGGAACCUUACCCGGGCUCAAACGCAAGGCGCUACACCCUGAAAGGGGUGGUUCUUCGGACGUCUUGCGAGGUGCUGCAUGGUUGUCGUCAGCUCGUGCCGUGAGGUGUCGGCUUAAGUGCCAUAACGAGCGCAACCCCCAUCUUCAGUUGCCAUCGGUUCAAGCCGGGCACUCUGGAGAGACUGCCGGCGCAAGCUGUGAGGAAGGCGGGGAUGACGUCAAAUCAGCACGGCCCUUACGUCCGGGGCGACACACGUGUUACAAUGGCGGGGUGACAGCGGGAAGCCAGGCGGCGACGCCGAGCCGAUCCCGAAAACCCGUCUCAGUUCGGAUCGGAGUCUGCAACCCGACUCCGUGAAGCUG